GAUGAAGAACGUAGCGAAAUGCGAUAAGUAAUGUGAAUUGCAGAAUUCAGUGAAUCAUCGAAUCUUUGAACGCACAUUGCGCCCGCCAGUAUUCUGGCGGGCAUGCCUGUUCGAGCGUCAUUUCAACCAUCAAGCCCCCGGCUUGUGUUGGGGACCUGCGGCUGCCGCAGGCCCUGAAAACCAGUGGCGGGCUCGCUAGUCACUCCGAGCGUAGUAAUACAUCUCGCUCAGGGCGUGCUGUGGGUUCCGGCCGUUAAAAAGCCUUAUUUACCCAAGGUUGACCUCGGAUCAGGUAGGAAGACCCGCUGAACUUAAGCAUAUCAAUAAGCGGAGA
rnacentral:misc_RNA from 1 species